CCUACGGGAGGCAGCAGUGGGGAAUAUUGCACAAUGGGGGAAACCCUGAUGCAGCGACGCCGCGUGAGCGAUGACGGAUUUCGGUAUGUAAAGCUCUAUCAGCAGGGAAGAAGAUGACGGUACCUGACUAAGAAGCCACGGCUAACUACGUGCCAGCAGCCGCGGUAAUACGUAGGGGGCAAGCGUUAUCCGGAUUUACUGGGCGUACAGGGAGCGUAGGCGGAGUUGCAAGGCAGAUGUGAAAGCCCGGGGCUCAACCCGCGGACUGCAUUUGGAACUGUGUGGCUGGAGUGUCGGAGAGGCAGGCGGAAUGCCUAGUGUAGCGGUGAAAUGCGUAGAUAUUAGGAAGAACACCAGUGGCGAAGGCGGCCCGCUGGACGGUGACUGACGUUGAGGCUCGAAAGCGUGGGGAGCAAACAGGAUUAGAUACCCUAGUAGUC
rnacentral:rRNA from 1 species